rnacentral:rRNA from 1 species
GCAUGAGUUAUGUCAUGUUAUCGAUAUGUGAAUACAUAGCAUAUCAGAAGGCACACCCGGAGAACUGAAACAUCUUAGUACCCGGAGGAAGAGAAAGAAAAUUCGAUUCCCUUAGUAGCGGCGAGCGAAACGGGAAGAGCCCAAACCAACAAGCUUGCUUGUUGGGGUUGUAGGACACUCUAUACGGAGUUACAAAGGACGACAUUAGACGAAUCAUCUGGAAAGAUGAAUCAAAGAAGGUAAUAAUCCUGUAGUCGAAAAUGUUGUCUCUCUUGAGUGGAUCCUGAGUACGACGGAGCACGUGAAAUUCCGUCGGAAUCUGGGAGGACCAUCUCCUAAGGCUAAAUACUCUCUAGUGACCGAUAGUGAACCAGUACCGUGAGGGAAAGGUGAAAAGCACCCCGGAAGGGGAGUGAAAUAGAACCUGAAACCGUGUGCUUACAAGUAGUCAGAGCCCGUUAAUGGGUGAUGGCGUGCCUUUUGUAGAAUGAACCGGCGAGUUACGAUUUGAUGCAAGGUUAAGCAGUAAAUGUGGAGCCGUAGCGAAAGCGAGUCUGAAUAGGGCGUUUAGUAUUUGGUCGUAGACCCGAAACCAGGUGAUCUACCCUUGGUCAGGUUGAAGUUCAGGUAACACUGAAUGGAGGACCGAACCGACUUACGUUGAAAAGUGAGCGGAUGAACUGAGGGUAGCGGAGAAAUUCCAAUCGAACCUGGAGAUAGCUGGUUCUCUCCGAAAUAGCUUUAGGGCUAGCCUCAAGUGAUGAUUAUUGGAGGUAGAGCACUGUUUGGACGAGGGGCCCCUCUCGGGUUACCGAAUUCAGACAAACUCCGAAUGCCAAUUAAUUUAACUUGGGAGUCAGAACAUGGGUGAUAAGGUCCGUGU